rnacentral:rRNA from 1 species
AUUGAACGCUGGCGGCAGGCCUAACACAUGCAAGUCGAGCGGACGAAGGGAGCUUGUGCCUGGAUUCAGCGGCGGACGGGUGAGUAAUGCCCAGGAAUCUGCCUGGUAGUGGGGGAUAACAUCCGGAAACGGGCGCUAAUACCUCAUACGAUCUGAGGUAGAACGUCGGGGAUCUUCGGACAUAGCCCUUUCAGAUGAGCCUUGCCCGGGUUAGCUAGUUGGUCUGGUAAAGGCGUACCAAGGCGACGAUCCGUAACUGGUCUGAGAGGCUGAUCAGUCACACUGGAACUGAGACACGGUCCAGACUCCUACGGGAGGCAGCAGUGGGGAAUAUUGGACAAUGGGCGAAAGCCUGAAACAGCCAUGCCGCGUGUGUGAAGAAGGUCUUCGGAUGGUAAAGCACUGUAAGUUGGGAGGAAGCGGGGUAUGUUUAUAUCUGCCCGUGUUGACGGUACCAACACAAAAAGCACCGGCUAACUUCGUG